rnacentral:rRNA from 1 species
UGGGGAAUCUUGCGCAAUGGGCGAAAGCCUGACGCAGCCAUGCCGCGUGGAUGAUGAAGGUCUUAGGAUUGUAAAAUCCUUUCAGCGGGGACGAUAAUGACGGUACCCGCAGAAGAAGCCCCGGCUAACUUCGUGCCAGCAGCCGCGGUAAUACGAAGGGGGCUAGCGUUGCUCGGAAUUACUGGGCGUAAAGGGAGCGUAGGCGGAUCGUUUAGUCGGGGUGAAAUCCCGGGGCUCAACCUCGGAACUGCCUUCGAUACUGGCGAUCUUGAGUAUGGGAGAGGUGUGUGGAACUCCGAGUGUAGAGGUGAAAUUCGUAGAUAUUCGGAAGAACACCAGUGGCGAAGGCGACACACUUGGCCCAUUUACUGACGCUGAGGCUCGAAAGCGUGGGGAGCAAACA